rnacentral:rRNA from 1 species
UACGAAGGGGGCUAGCGUUUUUCGGAAUUACUGGGCGUAAAGGGCGCGUAGGCGGUCUUGUAAGUCAGAUGUGAAAGCCCCUGGCUCAACCCGGGAAUAGCAUUUGAUACUGCGAGGCUUGAGUCCGGGAGAGGAUGGCGGAAUUCCCAGUGUAGAGGUGAAAUUCGUAGAUAUUGGGAAGAACACCGGUGGCGAAGGCGGCCAUCUGGACCGGCACUGACGCUGAGGCGCGAAAGCGUGGGGAGCAAACAGG